rnacentral:tRNA from 1 species
GAGGGUAGAGCUCAGCAGUAGAGCACAUGCUUAGUAUGCACUAGGUCCUGGGUUCAACCCCCAGUACCUCCA